UCUUUUACUUAGCAUAAUGUUUUCAGGUUCAUCUAUGUUGCAGCAUAUACUAGCAUUUAAUUUCUUUUUAUUGUUGAAUGGAUUUACUACAUUUUAUUUAUAAAUAAAAUGGACAUUUGAGUUGUUCCCAUUUGGGUGCUGUUACAAAGAAUAGCCACAAAUUGCUUACCUACCUACCUGUUAACUGUCAAGUCAAUUCCAACUCAAAGCGACCCUAUAGGACAGAGUGGAACUGCCCCACAGGGUUUCCAAGGAGCAACUGGUGGAUUCAAACUGCUGACCUUUUAGUUGGCAGCCAUAGCUCUUAACCACUGCGCCACCAGAGCUCCAGUCACAUAUUACACACCCACUAUUUUUAGAACAUAUCUAGCACUGAAAACAUUUAUGAAUGUCACGUAUGAAGGUGGUAUGGCAGAUUCCCAACAACGCGAACUCCAGAGCUGGAUAGAUGUAUGUUCUCAUUCUGUCUAUGCCACUUAUCAGAUAAUCAACCUUAACUAAACUACUCAAUCUCUUCAAGCUUUAGUUUUCUUCAUCGUAAAUUGGGAAUAGUAAUAAGUCUAUUGCAUGACUACUUCAUUAGAAUAAGGUACACAAAGCAAAAGGUAGUUUAGUAGGUAGCACAUUGGACAUGAGUACAUUUAUAAUUUGGAGGGAUUUGGAAGUUUAAACGAAAUCUUGACAGAAAUUCAAACGGAAAUCCUCCCUUCAGUGCUUUACCUAUCGCAGACUGCCAUCCCACCCACAAUUUCCUCUAAACUUGAAUAACUCCAAUCCACAAUUAGGCAGCCCCACUUUUUAAAGGUUUCCAACUCUUUUUGUGUUCCAAACUCAUGGGCAAUUUCCUCAGUGUUUGUGAACUUGGCCUCAAGAAGGCAGUGUUUGAUUCCUCCUUGUGAACCCUGGAACACUAAAUCUACGGUAGAAUUGGUUGGAUAUUUCCAGAGAACCAGGCUACAGAACGUUCCUGGGCAGGAUAAAUGGAGAAGAAUCCUUUGGCAGCCUCAUUGCUGAUCCUAUGGUUUCAUCUUGGGGGAGUGAGCAGCCAAGUCAAUGUGGAACAGAGUCCUCAGUCGCUGAAUGUUCAGAAGGGAGACAGCACAAAUUUCACCUGCAGCUUCCCUUCCAGCUCUUUUUAUGCCUUACACUGGUAUAGCUGGGAACGAGCCAAAAGCCCCAAGAUCCUGUUUGUACUGCUUUCAAGUGGGGAUAAAUCAGAAGGACGUCUAAGAGCCACUAUUAAUACUAAGGAGGGUUUCAGCUACUUGUACAUCAAAGGAUCCCAACUUGAAGACUCAGCCACCUAUCUUUGUGCCUUUGACACAGUGCUCUUCAGACACCUGCAGCCUGUACCCAAACCUGUGGCUGGUGCUGCUCUGGUGACCAGCUUCAACGAAGAGCUUUGUGUGGGUUUUUAUUAGUCUCCAGAUGGGGUUUGGAGAAAGGCAAAGUCAGUGAAUCACAGUGUUUUCAACAGUGAGGAAAAAUGCAAAUAUAUAUAAACAUUCAUUCUAGUAAUUGUAGCUCCCUGAGCUAAGUGAGUUGUUAUUAAACAUCACUACCCCUGACUCCCACCAAUAUGUUACCCAUAUCACUGAGUCAGAUUCUUGCCUCCUCUUAGGGCAUGAUUCCAAAUGAUCUAGAUAGUUACUCAAACCUAUCUGAAAUAAUCUGAGCACACAAGGGUAGUAUUUACCCUUAAUUGUUGCUACUUCCCCAGAGCUAGCUUUUCCAUCCCAUUUCCUCACACCUAUGCAUGGGGAUUGCUAUCUAGGGGGAUGAGGUCAUGCCCUCUCCUCAGAUACCUGGUAUAGAAAUCUGCAUGUUUCACACCAUUUAAUCCAUUAUUGGUUCAUUUAAUCCCUUGGGGUUUUGUGUUUGUUUGAUUUAGUUCUGCCUUCCCCCUACAUGAAGGAACCCUGAAGGCACCGUGGUUAAGUGCUCAGCUGCUAACCAGAAGGUUGGUGGUUCAAACACACCAGCUGCUCCCUGGGAGAAAGACGUGUCAGUCUGCCUCGCUAAAGAUUUACAGUCUUGGGAGCCCUAUGGGGGCAGGCUUACUCUGUCCUACAAGGUGGCUAUGGGUUGGAAUUGACUCGAAGGCAACAGGUUUUUUGUUUCCCCCUACGUGAACACCUGUGUUUCAUUUCUUCUCAUAUAUGGCUAUUUGCGUUUUUAAAAAUCACUUGUGGGACCUAAAAGGGGCACUGAUAGGAGAGAUUUACUAAUCAGUGUGGUCUGUCCUCUUUUAUCAUGAUUGUGGUAUUGAAUGAGUAAUUGAACUCUCCAUUAUUUAAGUUUCUUCAUUUAUAACGUCCAGGUAUCUGAGGCAGAUCAAGUAUCUGGUCUCUGCUUCUUUUGUAAAUUUUCAAACAAUCUACCAGUUUGAGAUCCUGUUGGUACUCUAACCAGUUGCUGUUGAGUCGAUUUAGACUCCUGGUGACCCCAUGUGUAUCAGACUAGGACUAUACUCCAUAGGGUUUUUGAAUAGCUGAUUUUUCAGAGCUGAUAUUUUAGGAGUAGAUCACCAGGACUUUAUUCCAAGGCAAUUCUGGGUAAACUCAAACCACCAGCCUUCCAGUUAGCAGCUGAGCACUUAACCAUUUGCACCACUCUGAGACUCCAUCACUAUCGGCACUCUAAAAGCUCGUUGCUGUUGAGUGCAUUCCAACUCACAGUGAUCCUAUAGGACAGAGUGGAACUGCCUUAUAGGGUUUCCAAGGUUGUAAUCUUUUUGGAAACAGACUGCCACAGAGCAGCUGCUGGGUUUGAACUGCUGACCUUUUGGUUAGCAGCCAAGCUGCUUAAUUGCUGCACCACCAGUUCUCCUUAUGGUACGCUAACAAAAACCAAACCAAACCCGUUGCUCUUCAGUUGAUUCUGACUCAUAGCAACCAUAUAGGACAGAGUAGAACUGCCCUGUAGGGCUUCCAAGGAGAGGCUGAUGGAUGUAAAUUGCUGACCUUUUGGUUAGCAGCCAUAGCUCUUAAAUACUGCACCACCAGGGUUGAUGGCAACAGGCUCAGUUUUUUAUGAGAGGUAGAUACCAGAGAGAUCAUGAUGCACAAAACAUGUCCAGUGAUUUGGACUUCUAGCCUCCAGAACUGUGAGAAUGAGUGGGUGGUUCUUUAAAGCCACCCACUUUGUAGUAUUUUCUUACAGCAGCCCGAUGAAACUGAGACACUGUCUCUUAUCUCAACUUUACCAAUCUAACACUGUGGUUAUUAUAAAACAUCUCUCUGAUCAUAUUAACCCAUUGCCGCCAAGUCGAU